AAUCAGGACAGAGGUACUAUCAACACCACAUAGGACAACCAUGGUCAACACAUGAUACAGCUAGUGAACUCUAGGAUUGUUUUUUGUUUGUUUUGAUAUUCCAGUUAGAGAUGGAGGCGACAUUACAUUCUGUGAGCAAGGCAGCCACGAACUCCACUGCUCCAGAGAGCCGCCUGCCGCCCUUCCAUUCCACGACUUGGCUUCACAACGUCACUGAAGCUGCGUCCCCAUUAAUAUUCCACCAACUACACCACGAGUCAGCCGCCGCCUCCUCUUCUCAUCUGAGCGGUUGAGCCGCCGCCGGCGCCCGGCGCCACCGCAUUUCUGCCCCCACCAGGCCGCCCCUCCGUCCUCGCCUUCUCACCGGCCGCCGACCGUCGCGCCGGUGCUAGUCUCGCCGUACGCAAGGAAGGAGAGAGGACCAGAUCACCAGAGGAGCCGACCCCCGACCACCCGGCGUCCGCCCACCAGCCUGUGAGUCUUCGACUUCGACAGCAUCCAGCUCUCCACAUCGGCAAGCAACUCUGCAGCGACCGUCGGUCCACCUCGGCAUCCCGGCGCUCGGCGGCGUCUCCUCCACUUCGCCACAACGUCUUCCACGGAGCACUCAAGUCAACGUAUCUGGCCAGGAGGCGCCAAUGAGAAUGGACACCACCAGGGGUUCAUUUCACAGGAACCGUUUUACUGUAUUGGCCUCGUCGUUUGGGUGAUUGCGGCACUGUAUUGGCCACCGGGACAUCGUGCUGCGCGAGAAGAAGCUCAGGGGGGCCGUGCCCAGGGAGAUGGGCGUCGUCGACGUCGUCUGCCCCGGCGCGCCCGAGACCGCAGCCGAGGCUCUCAAGCUCGCCGAGCAGCUGGCCGCCAGGAUGUCCAUGUUCCCCGAUGCGUGCAGGGCCGUUGGGAUCGCCGUGGAGAGCGACGAGGAGAAGAGCAGGCACUUCGCCUCCAGGCUCUGAUCAGGACACAAAUGGGAGGUCAGUCUCCCUCUGCAACUCUGUCCCCAGUCUGUCUAGGUGUUUGCUGAACUUACUGAAUACGAGAGAUCGCUGUUGUCGUUACAGAAUAAUUUGGUUACAGAACAUUGCAGUUCCUGCUGAAUUGGGAGAUUGUGCUACUGCGCUGAAGCCAAUUAUAAGUUCUGACAUUCCAUAGUAGAUAGUACUGUUGAUUAUAUUGCUAAGAAUAUACUUAGUUUGAGCUGCAGUUGUAGUACUCGAGAGUAUCUUCAAUCUGGUUGAGAUCAUCACCAGACACCAGCCAAGCUUAGCUGAUGUUGAUAAUCUAUCUGAUUCAAAAUUGCCAACACCGCAUAAGACAACCUUGCUCUAACAGGUCAACACAAGAUACAUCUAGAGGGUUUGUUUUGUUUGUAUAGUUCCAGUUAGAGAUGAAGGCGUGAGUACCUGAGCUAUUUAUUAGCUAUGCUGAACUGACACUCUAUACAGCCUUGUGAAAUCUGUGGACCAAGAUUUAUCCGUCAAGUUUAGGGCUAUGGUUGGUCCACUAUGUUGUCCUCUUGCAGUUGUUUGUUCUGCUGAGACAAAUCCAUGUUUUCGAC